UGGGGUAGAAGUAGAGGGGGUCGGCGUCCCCAGAAGAUCUUCAGCGGUGGCCACGACAGUCGACGAGGUCCCGACUGGAAGAGGAUCGGUGGCGACUUCGGAUGGUCCGGCUUCAUCAUCGAAUGCCUCGUUCAGGAAGCUGAGAUCCAAUUCGGAAAACCUCCCAGCCACCUUCUCUUGGCAAAGCUCAAACCCCUUGAUGAAGGCAUCCUGGCCGAACUGAACCUUUAGAUCCUUCAUCUCGGAGGAGGCUUUGAACUCUUCC
rnacentral:lncRNA from 1 species